CAAGACAUAGCUUAACAUAAAGCACCCGGCUUACAUCCAGGAGAUCUCAAUACCACUUGAUUGCCUUGA
rnacentral:tRNA from 1 species